rnacentral:rRNA from 1 species
CCCCUAGAUGUUCUGGGCCGCACGCGCGCUACACUGAACAGUUCAACAAGUCUUAACCUUGGCCGAUAGGUCUGGGUAAUCUUUGAACGCUGUUCGUGAUUGGGAUAGACCUUUGCAAUUAUGGGUCUUCAACGAGGAAUUCCUAGUAAACGCAAGUCAUCAGCUUGCAUUGAUUACGUCCCUGCCCUUUGUACACACCGCCCGUCGCACCUACCGAUUGAAUGUUCCGGUGAAUACUUCGGACUGCGUGGUUUGCAGUUUCUGCAUUCCUUGCGGAAAGUUGAAUAAACCUUAACAUUUAGAGGAAGGAGAANUCGUANCA